AUCUCUUAAACUAAUUAUAAUUCACAUUCAAAAGAUACAUAAACUUGACCACGAGUAGUUCGGUUGGUAUUAAGUCUAAUAAACGUGGGGCAUCAUGUGUACAUAUAUAUAGCCAUAUAUGAGUUCCCUCAAAAAUUUUCCACAACAAAAGCGGGUCUUCCAAAAUUGAGCGCCAACUUCAAACUUUUGUCAAAUUUUCAGAAAACUUGAAUUUCCCUCUCACUGCUAAUUAACCCUAACCCGCUGCAACUCGUCCAUCCCUCCCAACCAACGUAAAGCCGGCAACAUAACUCUGUUUUGCUGUGCAAAAAACAGAGCAAUCCAGUCCAAUGUAAAUCUGUUUUGCUAUGCUUACCGUGGCCUCUGUUUUGCAAUUAUUUUUCUAUAGCCUGUAAUUAUUUUAAGUGAAUCUCUAUUGUAGGUUAAAGCCGCUGGGAAGUCAAAGAAGAAGAAUGGGUCUAUCUUGCUUGAUUGGCGAUUGCUAUCGGCUGCUGGGAAGUCAAAGAAGAAGAAGCACGAGAUCACCAAGAAGCACAGCCACAUUUGGACCCAUUCGUUGUCUGCAAAAGCAGGAGAUUUCUUGGUCCUUUCCAACUUGAUGGCAGUGAUGAACUCCUGGAGAUGAAGCCUGACGAUCUAUGCAUAAUACAUUACAAGUCAAUAAGGGAGCGAGUACAGGAAGGAGAAAUCGAUUUGGUUUGAGAAUUAUGCGACUUGGCAGGGUGGGUUGUGCUAAAAGAGGAAAGGUGCUCCUCUACAAGACUACAAAGGAUGCUGUAACACGUAUUCAUAAUUGGAGGCUCAACAUUUGCAUAACAAUUUCAAAGAACCAUUGGAUAAGUGUGAAGAAGAACUACCCAUGAAAGAAAUGGUCCUAAAGCUAAUGACAAACACGAUGUGAAGAAGAAGAAUUAUCCAUGAAGAACUUUCACGUGCUUUGAUUUGUAAUUUUUUUUAU